rnacentral:rRNA from 1 species
UACGUAGGGUCCGAGCGUUGUCCGGAAUUAUUGGGCGUAAAGGGCUCGUAGGCGGUCCGUCACGUCGGGAGUGAAAACUCAGGGCUCAACCCUGAGCGUGCUUCCGAUACGGGUGGACUAGAGGUAUGCAGGGGAGAACGGAAUUCCUGGUGUAGCGGUGGAAUGCGCAGAUAUCAGGAGGAACACCGGUGGCGAAGGCGGUUCUCUGGGCAUUACCUGACGCUGAGGAGCGAAAGCGUGGGGAGCGAACAGG